UACGUAGGGGGCUAGCGUUGUUCGGAAUUACUGGGCGUAAAGGGCUCGUAGGCGGCCAACUAAGUCAGACGUGAAAUCCCUCGGCUUAACCGGGGAACUGCGUCUGAUACUGGAUGGCUUGAAUCCGGGAGAGGGAUGCGGAAUUCCAGGUGUAGCGGUGAAAUGCGUAGAUAUCUGGAGGAACACCGGUGGCGAAGGCGGCAUCCUGGACCGGCAUUGACGCUGAGGAGCGAAAGCCAGGGGAGCAAACGGG
rnacentral:rRNA from 1 species